AACCGCAACCACCCGCAUCCGCAAACUCCCGCAACCGCAACCGCAACCGCUGCGGUUGAACCAGUCAGGCCCUAAAUCGAAAUGAUUACAAUUUCUAAAUAUAUAUAUAACUGAAUAAAAAAGAGUACAAAAAGCGUGUUUGGAAAAUAAUAUAAAGGAAAAGUUUCUCAUCCGAGUUUUUUUACCUAUAUAACAUUAAUAUAAUUAUGUCAUGGAUGAAUUUGUUGUACACUCAUAAGAAAGCAAAAAAUAAAAUAAAAAUAAGAGUAUUUAGGCUCUAUACACACAGAAAUUGUAGAAAUUAGUAAAAUGCCCCCGACACUGUUAAAUUUUUUUUAAUACCAAAACACCCCUACACAACUUCAUCACCUAUAUGUACUUUUGAUUUUCUGUCAGAGACUAGAACCUAAGACCUUAUACUACACGCCAUGCACUGGAUUUCACUAUUAGUCAUAAUGACGCCGAGGGUACAUAAAUAGGCAACAAUUACAUUUAUUAGUAGUUUACCAAUUGUGUUAAAAGUCACGACCUUUCAUGUUUCUUUCUUCAUAAACUCAACAAUCUCUAUUUUUUUCUCAUUUUUUUCUCUGAUACAGAGAAGCUAGAGAAUCAAAACCUUUCAUGCCUCUUUACCCUGCAUCAUCUAAGAGCAUGUUGAAAUAAUUCGAGAUUUGGAAGAAUUUCUGGCAUGUCCAUGGGGUAGGAUCUUGUUCGAAAUGCUAGUUAUCGGGAUCAAGAAGAAAGACGAGAUUCUACUUUCUCAAACUAGCGUUGCGUUGCCCGGAUUUGUGGAUGCGACUCAGCUUGUGUUUAUGGUGGCAGUUCCUCAGAUUAAAGAGGUUGUUCCACAGGUUGAACCGGUUGUGUUGAUUAAGUCAAGACUCCGAGUCAGAGUCUGAUUGCAACGAUUUUCAAGUUGACGAAGAAGACGAGCCAGAUGUUUCUAAACCAACCCCACCUCUAGCAGUAGUUUGAUAUUGCAUAAACCCAACACACGUUAAAGCCCUUGAUGAAUAAGUUAAGACUGAGGUGAUAUCCAUGAUUGAGGAUACAACACACUUCCCGGAUGACCUGAUUUGGGAUGACAAAAUCGAAGACGAGACUGUUGUCAACCUUGUUCGAGGCCUCAGUGCAGCUGUUCUAACCCGUAUGAGAGCAGAGAAGAAGCAAAAAGAAAAAGAAGCCAAAGAGAAGAAUGAAAGAGAGAGCCAGCCGGUUUUCAAAUUUUAGCGUACUUUAUUAAUGUUAUCAUUAUAACCUAGACGUUAACCUUUUCAGUAGUCUCUAACUUUAAAUAAUAUAUAUAUAUGAUUUUGCAGUGAUCCUUACGUGCUUAAGUUAUCCAAUUUUGUAAUGAUAUCUCACCAGUUUCUUAAGAUAAUAGAAGUUAUUAUUAUCCGAA